AGCUUGUUAGCUUGUUUUUGCUCAGCCUUCCUCAACAAACCAGCUGUGGUUUUUCUUUUUUAAUUCUUUUGGUGAAAGCAAGAGGAACCGUUCUUCAGCCAUCUCUACAAGGGUUUGCAUCAUUAGGUAAUUCUACAAAGAUUAGGAGCCAUGUUGCUGUAGUAGCUGAUGAGAUAAUUAUUCAACAAGAGUUGACUAGUUCAACAUGACAGGCCAUAGACCAAACUGGUGGUCUAAUAAGGAAUAGGACGGUUAAUCAUCCUGAAAGCAAUAAGAAAGUUGACAACAGGCCACCUAUCCUACAACAAAGGAUUCAGAAGGGAGAUUUCACAGUGUUGAAAUCCACAGUGAUCAGCCACUGUGUGCCUUAUUCAGUCUAUCUGUGGAAGCCCUUAUCCCCAGGCCAAACCCGCUACUGAGGAUUAGGAAGAGGCCUAUUGGGCCGCUAACAGCAGUAGCAGUAGCAGCCUUGCUGAGUGUGUAUCCGUCGUCUGCGGGGGUUUUCACACCUCAGGCCCACGUGUUAUACCCCCCACAGACUGACUCUAUUGAGAGGGGACAAAGGACUUGUCCUUUACAACGGCCAGAGGUGUCAAAUUUCCAUAGGCGUAAAUAUACCGAAUUCCAGUAUCCCACAAAGGACAUCGACAGAGACAUCCUUGCCGGAGUAGAAGAAGGAUCUGAGACCCAGGACUAUCGGAGACGUCACAUACAUGGUGCUUUACUCUGUUCUGGUGACCUCUUUGACUAUAUCUGUAGAGUGGAGGGUAGAAACAAUGAUGACAAC